UUUUAUGAGAGUUUGAUCCUGGCUCAGGACGAACGCUGGCGGCGUGCCUAAUACAUGCAAGUCGAACGCUUCUUUUUCCACCGGAGCUUGCUCCACCGGAAAAAGAGGAGUGGCGAACGGGUGAGUAACACGUGGGUACCCUGCCCAUCAGAAGGGGAUAACACUUGGAAACAGGUGCUAAUACCGUAUAACAAUCAAAACCGCAUGGUUUUGAUUUGAAAGGCGCUUUCGGGUGU
rnacentral:rRNA from 1 species